AUGUGGAUACAUUUCCUUUGUGGUGUUCCCGACAGAGCAGAGCCUGCGCUGGCUUCCUCCUCCUACCUCGUGGCUCCGGAAGAGAACAGUGUUCCACGCAGGAAAUGCGUGCGGCUGAAAUGUGUGCAGAUAACACUUUUGUCAAUUAGGUCAAACAAGACCAGCAGGCAGCGUGUGCGGUCGCGGCUUUCUAUCUGUAAACGUCCGGGAUCCGCGCCCUCAGGGGCGGUUCACACGACACUCCUCAGAGCUGCUUUUAUGAUCGUGCAGCGUUCCCGACCCAGUAAGCGCCGCAGGAUUUCGUUAGGACCGUCUCCCGUUGUUUACUCACCAUCCAUCCUGGGAUGCAGGAAUCUCUUACUGCCCUGUUGAUUCUGGGCCACCGACCUGACCUUCCGUUUCACUGGCCCUGCUUCUCGGAAGUAUCUCACAUUCGAUGUAAUGACACUAAAUUAUCCGAGCUGCUUAGUGCUGUGUAGUGUCUGGAACAGGGUUUUGGAUGGUUGGGACUUGCUGUUUCCCUGAAUUAUUUGGCAUGACUGACAUUCUGAAGAGAAACUGCUCUUGUCUGUGAGUGGAGCUGAGCCCUCGGCCAUUCACUCGCCUCCAACCGGUUCAACAAGGGUUUGUUCACACGUCAGUGAAACAGCCACGUGUGCCGGGCUCCAUGGCUCCCAGUCGCAUCAGACCCAGCACUGCCCUCGGGAGGGGGAAAGCGUGUCGAGGCACGCCCUGAGCUGCCCCACAGGUCGGACUGGGUGAACCCACGGUGGCCCGAGGGGAAGGGGCUCAGUGGACGUGCACGGGACGGCUGCUGCCUCACCUUCGCCCUCCCCAAACACGAGCCACUCCGUGGCCUCACUCCCCCCAUCUUCAGCCUCCACGGAAAACACGGGUCCUAGAGGCAGGCGACAGAAGUGAGACAAAGGGAGACACAGAGAGAAAGCCACAGUCUUCCCCCCAGACACAACGAACCCAAGUAGAACAAAGAGCUGUUCUCGGAUUCAUAAGAAACACGCAGCAGGCACUUCUUAGCUUGUGUCGGACGUAGCCCCUUCCUCAAGAACAACCAACGAGGCACAGUAACCGCGUGGAAAGACCAAGAAUUUUCCUGUGAGUGAGGAGAAUGGUGCAGGAGACGUGCAGAAGAGGCUUGGCAGAGUGGACAUGGCGAGAGUGAGUGCAGACCACCAGCACAGCAGCCCCCGUGGCCACGGCCUCCCCGAGUCCCUUGGAGGGAAGGGGAACACGUGGCAGGGGUGCGUCUGCUUUGUCUCUUCAUGCUGAGAUCAUUAGCUCUUCUGAUUAAAAACAAAACCCAAAAAACCCAGACUGCUUCAGCGUCUGGAUGCUUUCCUAUCUGCGAAUGCUG
rnacentral:lncRNA from 1 species